ensembl:lncRNA
GUGAGAGAAGAGUGGCAGCAGAGACAACAGCCCAUCAGUAGCCUGGUCUUGUGGAAUAAAAGAUUUUAGAAUGAUGUGGGAGCUGAAGCUAAAUGUUGCAGAAUUGUUCAGUAAAACACAGACUUGGGCACAAAUUCCAACUGUGCUGACCACAUCCACCAGCUGCAGAGACACACAAAGAGACAGUACAAGCACAAUAUAUGGAAAAAAAUCCGAGUGAUGGAAAUAUAAGCUGCUCCAAGUGAAUGUUUAUGCGUCAGUGCUGUGCAGAACAGUUUUAGACAGCUCUAGUGGCCAAAGCUGUGGAAGGAGCCUAAUCCCACUGGAACCAGUCUGUGCAGGGACUCCUCAGAUACUUCUAUAUCCCCAGUGAUUCAGCUGUUCAGCGCCAGCCAAGACAUUUCUGCACACAGAUCAAUAAGAUAUAGUGCAGUGCAGAUGUUCUUUGCUCUAAGAAACUUGGCAAGACUGUGUAGAGUAGAUUUUAGUGGUCUGAAAUGUCUGAACAAAAAGAUCAUCUCUUGCUUCAUCAGUACCACAGACUUGUGAAGAGUUUCCGAUUUUACAGAUUGUAAAUCUGUAUCCAGUUCCCUCCAUGCUUCAGCACUGAAGCUGUGAUCAUUACAAUUGCUGAUUAUCACUGAUGCAUAUUGCAUGAAACUAUUCACCAAUUGGUAAACCUAAAGAGUCCUUUGCCUUUCACUCCAGAAAGGCUGUGAAAUAUGGAAGAAAGUUUCUCCAAGUAAUUUAUCCUUAAAUAGCUUGUCACUGCAGUGCAGAACAUAAAGGGAGUAAUUUCCAAGGGAACACUUGUUCCUACCAAGCAGUCUAAGUGACAUCUGCAAGCAUGACAUGCAGACACAGCAGUUCCUGUUUCCUGCAGAAUCUGAGCACUCACAUCUAAUUGCAGCCGAGGUUGACUGAGGACAUUCAAAAGAGAAGAGAGUAUUUUGCAUUGUAAGGCUGUUGGAUUUUUCUUUUAUUUAUGUGGCAUCUCUCAAAAAACCUUCUGUGUGACACUUGGAAGCAACCCACAGGGAAACAAUGCGGGAUGCAAGAAUAUGUUUUUAUAUGUACACAUAUACAUAUAUAUAUAUAUGCACACACAUAUAUAAUAGAAAGCACAAUUCAGCAUAGCAAGGAUAAGAUGUGUAAAGACAUGGGGCUGAGAAGAUAUAAAUGAUCAUUCCUGAGGCUGUAGUUCACACGUUAAUAAUCCUGGUGUACCCUUAGAUCUGAGGCUAACAGACUAACUGUGCAUCUUGGGUGUUUUUGGGUGGGGAGUGUUAUGUGCCUAGGGAUGAUCGAGUAUCUGGAAUGAUUUGCAAAUCAGCUCUUUAUGAUGUGUGCAGGAUAGUAAUGCCUCUGAGUACUAGCGACUCAAAAAUGCAGAGCAGCGAACAAAGCGAUCUAAAAUGCCAGGAGGAAAGAAUUUUCUCAGUGGCCUACAGAUGGCAGGCCGAUAUAACAGAUGAGUGAUGUCCUUGAAGCCUGUUUCCCUGAAUAUUAGAAACAUAGUACACCCUAUUUAUGCAGGUUUUCACGGAGAAAGAAGUUUUAACUGGGUCACUCUAAAAUGCAACCACUUUUGCACUACUUCAGAAUAUGUUCAAAGUCUUUUGCUUUGUGCUGUAAGCGGUGUUCAAAAUUCAGCCCAAAAGCUCUCAACUAGAAUUGUUUUAAGUGUUAUGAACUUACCUAAAGAUUUUGAUAAUUGACUCCAAGUUCUCAAAAAUUAGUGUGUACAGGAGGAUACUUGGGUUUACUUGUAUGUAGUUCAUGUCUUCAAAUUACUCCACUUUCUUAAAGAAUGUUGCAAUUGAUUUUGCUGACACCUUGUAUGUUUUUGCAUAAAUCUGGAUUAGCUUUUUUUUUCUGUAGAAGACACCAACAGAUAAAACUUAUGGUUGACUUUUUUGACUCAUUUAAUAUAAAAUAAAAAUUCCUUCAGAAGAUUUUGGUCUGGAAGAGAGGAGGAACCAUAGACACAGUAAAGCUUUUGUUUCUCUUCCUCUUGAGCACUGAGCUUUAGUGUAUGAUUUGAUACUCUCCUGUAUCUUUAGCUCAUAAAAGCACUAAUUCCAGAAGGGAAAACAAAAUAGCAGUCAGCCUUUUCCUUCACUUGGAGAAAAAGAAGUUAUUUAGAGGGUUAAAAAAUGAGAAAAUGUGGCUUCUACUAGUCUUCUUGUUCAAUGAAUAUCUAACAGAAAAGACAUCUUAAACACUGUAAUCUUUCAAGUGUUUUGUAUUUGCUAUAUAAAACAUUAUUAAAAAGGAGUUGGAAAAAGAAAGCUGUUGCAGGUCAUACCCUUUCCAUAUUGUUUGUAAAAUGGCUAAUGGUUAGAAAAUCAAACUUGCUAUACU